rnacentral:rRNA from 1 species
UACGAAGGGGGCUAGCGUUGCUCGGAAUCACUGGGCAUAAAGGGUGCGUAGGCGGGUCUUUAAGUCAGGGGUGAAAUCCUGGAGCUCAACUCCAGAACUGCCUUUGAUACUGAGGAUCUUGAGUUCGGGAGAGGUGAGUGGAACUGCGAGUGUAGAGGUGAAAUUCGUAGAUAUUCGCAAGAACACCAGUGGCGAAGGCGGCUCACUGGCCCGAUACUGACGCUGAGGCACGAAAGCGUGGGGAGCGAACAGG